CAAGGAAGAUAACACCCCUACCUUCCAGUUUCAGUCAAAGGGUAGAAGUCUAACUUUGUGAGUUCCUUGCUCCAAACUGCAAACCUAUCUCCUGUUACAAAGAUACAGAGAAGUUGUUAGUCCUGUGGAUAAAGUCAGUUACCUAAAUAGAUGAUCGCCUCAACUGCUAGCAAGCUGCCAUGCUGUUGGUAGCAUUUUAAAAAGACAAGCAUGGCGAAGAAAGGAUAUCUCUGCCAAGCAGCCAGGAACAUCCUGAGGCCUGUCAGCAGCCCUUUCCGUGAAACUGGAAAUGGAUCUUCCCCUUGUGAUGACUACAGUCCCAACUGAGAGCUUGACUGCAACCUCAUGAGCAGCCCUGAGCCAGAGACACUGAGCUAAUUUCUGCCUGAAUUCCUGAUUCAUGGAAAUUAUGGGCUAAUAAAUAUAUCUCAUUUUAAGCUACUAACUUCUGAGGUGAUUUGUUAUACAGAAUAUAUAU
rnacentral:lncRNA from 1 species